rnacentral:rRNA from 1 species
GACGAACGCUGGCGGCGUGCCUAAUACAUGCAAGUCGAGCGGACGAAUCGAAAGCUUGCUCUUGCGUCGUUAGCGGCGGACGGGUGAGUAACACGUGGGCAACCUGCCCUGUAGACGGGGAUAACACCGAGAAAUCGGUGCUAAUACCGGAUAACACGACAUGUCGCAUGACGUUUCGUUGAAAGACGGCGCAAGCUGUCGCUACAGGAUGGGCCCGCGGCGCUUUAGCUAGUUGGUGAGGUAACGGCUCACCAAAGCGGGGAUGCGUAGCCGCCCCGAGAGCGAGAUCGCACACACUGGGACUGAGGAACGGCCCAGACUCCGACGGGAGGCAGCAGUCAGGAAUCUUCCGCGAUGGAGGAGAGUCGGAUGGAGCAAAGCCGCGGGAGGGAAGAAGGCCUUCGGGUCGUAAAGCUAUGUUGUUAGGGAAGAACUAGUGCCGUAGUAACUGGCGUGAUAGUGACGGUACCUAAAGAGAAAGCCACGGCUAACUACGUG